rnacentral:lncRNA from 1 species
UUUUGGAGGGCAGAGUUCACGAUGACUAGAGUUUACAUGAUAUGUGAUUAAUUCUCUGCAUAAUCAGGAUUUGCAACAUUCUGUUUGCUCCUACCUGAUUCUUUCUGAAGAAGAAAAGAAUAAAUUUAAAAAUAAGUGUAUUAUCAUGGAGCAUUGAGAAUCAUCCACAAGUGUAACUUUGGUUAAUUAAAAAUCUUUUGUUAAAAAUAUACAUACAUAUAUAAUUAUGAAAAUCAUAAUAGUUAAAAUAAUGAAAAUAAUAAUUAGAAUCAAGUACUUGGUUUUAAUAUAUAUACAAGCAGGUAAAUAACAAUUAAGAAUAGUAAUUACUGAAUGCUAGAACCAUGCUGAAGUUGUUUCAUAGGUUAUUUUCAUUGAAUUCUUACAAUAACUUUCUGGGGUGAAAAAUAUUUAUCCACAUUUCACAAUGAAAUAAAACAAGAUUCUGGGAAGUUAAAUUAAAUGCCAAGGGCUGGGCGUGGUGGCUCACGUCUGUAAUCCCAGCACUUUGGGAGGCCGAGGCGGGUGGAUCACUUGAGGUCAGAAGUUCAAGACAAACCUGCCCAACAUGGUGAAACCCCGUCUCUACUAAAAAUAUAAAAAAUUAGCCAGGCAUGGUGGCAGGCGCCUGUAGUCCCAGGUCCUCGUGAGGCUGAGACAGGAGAAUGGCGCGAACCCGGGAGGCGGAGCUUGCAGUGAGCCGAGAUCGCGCCACUGCACUUGAGCCUGGGUGACAGAGCGAGACUCCGUCUCAAAAACAAACAAACAAACAAAAAAAUUAGCCAGUCCUGGUGGCACGCCUGUAAUCUCAGUUACUUACUUAGAAGUCUGAGGCAGGAGGAUUGCUUGAACCCGAGAGGCAGAGGUUGCAGUGAGCUGAGAUUGCGCCACUGCAAUCCAGCCUGGGUGACAGAACGAGACUCUGUCAAA